UCCUGGCUCAGGACGAACGCUGGCGGCGUGCCUAAUACAUGCAAGUCGAGCGAAUGGAUGGGAGCUUGCUCCCUGAAGUUAGCGGCGGACGGGUGAGUAACACGUGGGCAACCUGCCUGUAAGACUGGGAUAACUUCGGGAAACCGGAGCUAAUACCGGAUACGUUCUUUCCUCGCAUGAGGAAAGAUGGAAAGACGGUUUCGGCUGUCACUUACAGAUGGGCCCGCGGCGCAUUAGCUAGUUGGUGAGGUAAUGGCUCACCAAGGCCACGAUGCGUAGCCGACCUGAGAGGGUGAUCGGCCACACUGGGACUGAGACACGGCCCAGACUCCUACGGGAGGCAGCAGUAGGGAAUCUUCCGCAAUGGACGAAAGUCUGACGGAGCAACGCCGCGUGAGCGAAGAAGGCCUUCGGGUCGUAAAGCUCUGUUGUUAGGGAAGAACAUGUGCCAGAGUAACUGCUGGCACCUUGACGGUACCUAACCAGAAAGCCACGGCUAACUACGUGCCAGCAGCCGCGGUAAUACGUAGGUGGCAAGCGUUGUCCGGAAUUAUUGGGCGUAAAGCGCGCGCAGGUGGUUCCUUAAGUCUGAUGUGAAAGCCCACGGCUCAACCGUGGAGGGUCAUUGGAAACUGGGGGACUUGAGUGCAGAAGAGGAAAGUGGAAUUCCAAGUGUAGCGGUGAAAUGCGUAGAGAUUUGGAGGAACACCAGUGGCGAAGGCGACUUUCNGGUCUGUAACGACA
rnacentral:rRNA from 2 species